rnacentral:rRNA from 1 species
CAGUCGCCGCGGUAAUACAGAGGGUGCAAGCGUUAAUCGGAAUUACUGGGCGUAAAGCGUGCGCAGGCGGUUAUAUAAGACAGAUGUGAAAUCCCCGGGCUCAACCUGGGAACUGCAUUUGUGACUGUAUAGCUAGAGUACGGCAGAGGGGGAUGGAAUUCCGCGUGUAGCAGUGAAAUGCGUAGAUAUGCGGAGGAACACCGAUGGCGAAGGCAAUCCCCUGGGCCUGUACUGACGCUCAUGCACGAAAGCGUGGGGAGCAAACAGGAUUAGAUACCCGCGUAGUCCCUGUCUCUUAUAC